UCUGAUAUCUACAAAGAGGGUAUGUGGCUUAUUUAAGGGCAUUUAAAAUGUCCAGAUAGUUUUACAGGUCCAUUUUCAACCCUAGAAAUUGGCCCUAGAAUGAAAUGGUCUGUUUUUACCUUAUUUGGAAGGGUCAUGAAUAGUAAUGAGGAGUUCUGCUCUGAUUGGCUGUUUCACUGCAGGCUCAUAACAGUAGCUCAGAGUGACAACAAACAGGUCCAGCGUGACAAUGGAGAGAUUAGGCGUUCAACCGUACAUGUUUGAGCCUGUUUCAGAUGAAGAUGCUGAUUUUGAGGAACAACCAGUUGUUUUAAGAUUGGAACUGGACGAUUCUGAGUGGUGUACUUGUGGAAAUUGUGCAUGCAUGGCCCUCGAGAGAGAAAAUAUAUGUUGCAGGGAAAUAUCACAGGUAUUUCACAAAAUGAUAAAAGUGCCUAAUAAAAUAUCACGCAUGACAGACCAUCCUGGCCUUGAACCUGUGUGACUCAAUAUAUACUGUAUUCUUUGCAAAAUGCAAUGAAUGUAUAUAGAGCUGACCAUGGGCGUGUUAGAGUUAGAGGGAUGGAAAGGCAGUGCUGUGCAUAAGAAGGGAGUUUCCUGAUGCUGCUGGAC